rnacentral:rRNA from 1 species
AUUGAACGCUGGCGGCAGGCUUAACACAUGCAAGUCGAGCGGAGAUGAGGUGCUUGCACCUUAUCUUAGCGGCGGACGGGUGAGUAAUGCUUAGGGAUCUGCCUAUUAGUGGGGGACAACAUUCCGAAAGGAAUGCUAAUACCGCAUACGUCCUACGGGAGAAAGCAGGGGAUCUUCGGACCUUGCGCUAACAGAUGAGACUAAGUCGGAUUAGCUAGUUGGUGGGGUAAAGGCCUACCAAGGCGACGAUCUGUAGCGGGUCUGAGAGGAUGAUCCGCCACACUGGGACUGAGACACGGCCCAGACUCCUACGGGAGGCAGCAGUGGGGAAUAUUGGACAAUGGGGGGAACCCUGAUCCAGCCAUGCCGCGUGUGUGAAGAAGGCCUUAUGGUUGUAAAGCACUUUAAGCGAGGAGGAGGCUACUGAGACUAAUACUCUUGGAUAGUGGACGUUACUCGCAGAAUAAGCACCGGCUAACUCUGUGCCAGCAGCCGCAGUAACAC